UUCUGACCCCCCAAGGAACGUGG
rnacentral:rRNA from 1 species